ensembl:lncRNA
CAAAGGCUCUUGCCCCAGGCCGUUACUGACCUCGCAUGUUCCUGGUUUUAGACGUGACUCCCAACAGACACAUGAGAGACCAUGGGCCUAACCAGAUGAGUGGGCCAUAAGGACAAGGUCUACAUCAAGAAAGCAGUCAUCUGGAAGCCAGAGGGGCAUCACUGAGAAACCCAUGCAAGGCUCUCAAGGAGGGGAGAAGAUGAGCUUUAACCCUGCGUGGGAGGACAGACAUCGAUGUUGCUGUGAUGGUACAAGCUGAGUAAGGCCUUCCCUGUCCUUUACGGACACAGCCCGGGGUGGGAGCAUACAUGAGAUGCUGUCCUUCCAGAUCCCCUGCAGCUUUAAUAGUCUAAAAAAUGUGGAGUUUGGGUCCAGGAUAAAAGUAAUUACUGACAUCUCAGUAGUCGGGGGGGGGGGCAGAUUCAGAGCUAGAGAUGUUGAGUGGACAGGUGGCAAUGGGCUCAUCCAAUAUACAGUAAAGAAGGUACCUGCCACCAUGAGAGUUGGGGCUGUUCAGUUGGGAUCUGGGAAGCAUGUGUGUGGGAUUGACUGGGAGUUCUGGGCACCGUAGAGAUGCAUCAUCUUGCAUCUAGGGAUGCAGUGGACUUUCCCGUAGCUAGGUCUGCUUGCUUGAGAAUGGUAUAGAGCAGACAGACAGAAAGCUGUAUCUAUUCGUUAGGGAUUUCAGAUAAUAUGUUGGAAGAGGAUAAGAACAAGAAGGUGGGUGUCUGGACAGGCCAGAGAAUCCACGCUGGGUUAGGAAGGACAUGACUGUCAAAGAUCCUGACAGGAAUGAAAAACUGUGGGCAUGCGUCUAGCUUAUCGGUAGUUACCGCAGACAACCCUAAAAUGGAAGAAACAAGUCUAUCAACACAUUCAUCCCCUUCCCCACCCUUGACCCUUAUAAUUUCUGUCUGUUCUUACCCUCCUGCCCUGGCAUACUUGAUGCACCCCUCAUAAGGUGCUGGGGCUAGAAAACAUGCCCUAAGCCGUAGUGCCAGUGGGAGUGCUACACCGCUUCCAGUGCCCUAGUCCUCUCUUCGCUAUAAAUCUCCACUAACCGGAUUUGAUGCUUUUGGUCAGAGUUUUGGAGAGACACAAAGUACCCAUGUCUUCAAAUGAAGUCCAGGAAGAUUGCGGGAAACCAGGCCACACACACUCUAGUGUGCUCUGGCUAAAAGAGCAGAGAAUCCUUCCUUAGAGCCGGAGGCCUAAGUGGAUAAGGCUGGCCACUGAGCGGCGAUUUUGACAACAUGAACUGAAGCAUACACAGUGAGAAGCAGCUGGCCAAGGGGAAUGGCCGACCUGCAUGUCCAGCUGUUGUGGUCAAGUAUUCAUGGUUGGCGAAAGAAGGAAAAACUACAGAGUGUUGCUCUAGCUUUGGUCUUGCCCGAGCAGGUGUCUAUUCUGCCCUCUGAAGACAAGAUCUUAAAGACACAAAGCCUUCUCCAACCCUCCUUUGGUGAUGUGGCCUUGGCAACUAAUGCAAGUGACUUAACAUGGACACAUUCAUUCUGGAGGCUAAGGAGGGACUGUGGCCAUGGAGCACUGGAGUCAGUCCAUACUGGCUCACAAGAGCUGACUGUUAAUUUUUCCAGAACUUUGUGAGCUGGUUGUUAAAGACAUACAUCAUUUGAAAUUAAAUGACAUAAACUAACCAUUACCUCACACUAAAAACAAG